GGAUCAUUACCGAGUUUACAACUCCCAAACCCAUGUGAACAUACCUAUUGUUGCUUCGGCGGGAUUGCCCCGGGCGCCUCGUGUGCCCCGGAUCAGGCGCCCGCCUAGGAACUUUAACUCUUGUUUUAUUUUGAAUCUUCUGAGUAGUUUUUACAAAUAAAUAAAAACUUUCAACAACGGAUCUCUUGGUUCUGGCAUCGAUGAAGAACGCAGCGAAAUGCGAUAAGUAAUGUGAAUUGCAGAAUUCAGUGAAUCAUCGAAUCUUUGAACGCACAUUGCGCCCGCCAGUAUUCUGGCGGGCAUGCCUGUCUGAGCGUCAUUUCAACCCUCAUGCCCCUAGGGCGUGGUGUUGGGGAUCGGCCAAAGCCCGCGAGGGACGGCCGGCCCCUAAAUCUAGUGGCGGACCCGUCGUGGCCUCCUCUGCGAAGUAGUGAUAUUCCGCAUCGGAGAGCGAUGAGCCCCUGCCGUUAAACCCCCAACUUUCUAAGGUUGACCUCAGAUCAG
rnacentral:rRNA from 1 species